GUGCCAGCAGCCGCGGUAAUACGUAGGGUGCAAGCGUUAAUCGGAAUUACUGGGCGUAAAGCGUGCGCAGGCGGUUAUGCAAGACAGAGGUGAAAUCCCCGGGCUCAACCUGGGAACUGCCUUUGUGACUGCAUGGCUAGAGUACGGUAGAGGGGGAUGGAAUUCCGCGUGUAGCAGUGAAAUGCGUAGAUAUGCGGAGGACACCGAUGGCGAAGGCAAUCCCCUGGACCUGUACUGACGCUCAUACACGAAAGCGUGGGGAGCAAACAGGAUUAG
rnacentral:rRNA from 1 species